AUGUUUCAGGUCUUGGACCUGUUCCUGGGCUCCUGCACUCUGACAUCCAUCUCACCCGCUUUUAAGUGUCCGUCACAGCAGGCGUGGAAACCUGGAGGUUCCCUCCAGAUUUCACGACGCUUUCUUUCCACUCUACUUAUGUUUCAGGUCUUGGACCUGUUCCUGGUCUCCUGCACUCUGAUAUCCAUCUCACCCGCUUGUAAGUAUCCAUCACAGCAGGCGUGGAAACCUGGAGGAUCCCUCCAGAUAUCACAAUGCUUUCUUUCCAAUCUCCUUAUGUUUCAGGUCUUGGAUCUCUUCGUGGGCUCCUGCACUCUGAUAUCCAUCUCACCCGCUUGUUUCCUCGUCAUUGCUUCGGAGCCAGCAGAAGACAUGGAGCGGCAAGCUGGAAAAGAAUACACGCAGAAACCUGAACACACCCAUGUUUUAUAUUUGAAGUUUAGAAAGUUUUUUUAUGCACCUUAAAAAUCUGGCAAUCUCACAAACCUCAAAAGACUGAAGUUAAAUUCUCUCCGGCCUUAAAAUUUGUGAGCUGUCUUAGAUUUGUCCCACUUACUUUUUAUGAAAAUCAAUCUGCAAACUUGGUGUCUGGAUCAAAGAGAGCAGAGGAAAAAAUAUUUUGGAGAUGAACUUGACUUUGUUCUGCUGCGGCCAAAAAUGGUUUUCUCUGCCUCAUGUCUAAGUGCCUUGGUGUUUGUUGAGGUUUUUGCUUUAAACCGCAAUCCUGCCACAACAAAAAAGAAAUGAACGAACAAAAAGAGAGAGUCUGGGGAAAGAGAAAAUGAGGUGAUAAACCAGAUUCAGCAAAUUGAUGUGGAAGCGAGAAUGGUUGAUGUGUUUUCUUGUACAUUUUUCUGCAAGUAUUGACAGGGUGACUCAGGACUCAUGCAUAAUCAGGUUAUAUCAGUGUUCUUUGGCUAGCUGAUCACAUUAAAUCAUCACAUGUGACAUCUGCAUUACAUUACAUACCUCCAUCGUGUCUGCAUAAUAGUGAAAGGCAAUGAAAACUCUGGGCUGCUGGGCUUUUUUUCAUAAUCACUUUAAUAUAUGCAACAACGAUUAAACAUCUGUAUUGUUGCUCAUUCUAUUUAAUGAUAUAUAACACAUUAGAGGUCAAAUAGUUUGUCAGCUAAUCAGUACAUUAACAAAGACUUCACAUUAUCUUCUUAAACUUUCUGUGUGACAGGAUUUUGUAUUUUUUAAUAUUUAUAAAAAAUAAUCAUUAGAUAAAU
rnacentral:lncRNA from 1 species